GACGAAGGCGGGGGAUUUCCGUCCCCGCAGCCUCGGCGGGGGAACGAGACCUGUUCGCCGGCACGCGCGGAGCCGUCCCGGGGCAGGAGACAACAGCAAGAUCCCUUUCCAAGGAGAUUGGCACAGAUUUAUACACCUGGUCACCUCUCUGACACUGCUCCCACCACUGGACAGAAGAAGCAAAGAUGGGGCUGUGAAAAUGAUCUGAUGCCAUCCAUAUGCUUCCCUGGCAACAAAUACUAUGUCCUACCUACUUGUUCAUCAGUACAUUUGGGUAAAAACAGAAAAAGUGGAAAGGAGUAUGGGUGA
rnacentral:lncRNA from 1 species